UGAACGCUGGCGGCGUGCUUAACACAUGCAAGUCGAACGAUGAAGCCUAGCUUGCUAGGUGGAUUAGUGGCGCACGGGUGAGUAAUAUAUAGAUAAUGUGCCUCUUAGUCUGGGAUAGCCAUUGGAAACGAUGAUUAAUACUAGAUACUCCUUCUAAACUUAAGUUUAGUCGGGAAAGUUUUUCGCUAAGAGAUCAGUCUAUAUCCCAUCAGUUAGUUGGUAAGGUAACGGCUUACCAAGGCAAUGACGGGUAGCGGGUUUGAGAGGAUGAUCCGCCACACUGGUACUGAGACACGGACCAGACUCCUACGGGAGGCAGCAGUGAGGAAUAUUGCACAAUGGGGGAAACCCUGAUGCAGCAACGCCGCGUGGAGGAUGACGCAUUUCGGUGUGUAAACUCCUUUUAUAUGAGAAGAUAAUGACGGUAUCAUAUGAAUAAGCACCGGCUAACUCC
rnacentral:rRNA from 1 species